GCAUAGGAAAUCAUUAAAAGGGCUCAGAUACCACUCGAUGGAAAGAACUCAAUUAGUACCAAACCUCUGUGCAGCAGCACUGGGUGCUGGAAGACCAUGUAACAAUGACUUUAACCCUUGAGUUCUCUAUCCGGAAAUAUUCUCAGUUAAAAGGAUUAUUUGCAGACAGAGGAAAACAUCCUUAUCUAUAGCUCCAAUCCUCAUCUCUUCAGAAACUGCUCCUGAAAAAGGCCUGAAAAUAACGUAGACAAAGUUUAGCCAAUGGAAAACAACAACGGACCUAAUUCAAAUGAGUAAUUCACCCUUUGGAUUUGGGUUGGAGAUAUCUGAAGUGAGUCAGAACUGAACAGAAGUCACUAUUUAGGACAUAUUUUCCCCAGAGUGUGAAACAGGAUUAGGAAAUCCUGAAUCAAUCCAAGUAACUGCAUGGAAAGCUUCAGCGUGGAUGUGGUGUAGGAGUAGCUUCCGGGAAUAGUCCUGCAGCCCACUGUGCUAACUGACCUGGCCUUGUGACAUGAAAGUGUGAGGCCAGGGGUUUUCCCUUCUCAAGGUGGGGAGAUUCUUUUGGCUGCAGUUCCCACACAUGCUCCAGAAGGAUACAGGGAGAAUAAGGAGCGAAAACAAGCAUUUGAUACCAGCAGAAACCAACAAUAAGGGAGUGCAGCAAGGAAGCUGGUGCCAGAUCCGAGAUCCCUCCUCUCGUCCCACCUCACUUGUGCUUUCUGCUCUCAUGAAGUCAUCACUGGGAAGCCAACACUGGCAGCAGGAGAGGAUAUCCUGAGAUCUGGCCUGCAGUCUGACAAUACCUUUUUGGCACAUGCACUCCCAUCCCCAGCUGCAACAACAAAAACGUCUUCAGACAUUGUCAGUGUCUCCUGGGGAGCCCCUGGUUGAGAACAACUAUUCUAGACCAAGAUUUUCUGAAGGACCCCAAACAUCGUACGAUUGACCGGUUCUCAUAUUGAGUGUACAUCAACAUCUCCUAGAAGAACUCUGGAAGAUCCAUUUUAUCAAUGUUCUGGAUUGUGUUUAAUAUAAAAGCUUCGGUUUUCAAGUUAGUCAAGAUUGCAGAGAAAAGGGAGAAAUGGAAGAUAGUGAG
rnacentral:lncRNA from 1 species